UACGUAGGGCGCAAGCGUUAUCCGGAAUUAUUGGGCGUAAAGAGCUCGUAGGCGGUCUGUCGCGUCGGUCGUGAAAACCUGCAGCUUAACUGUGGGCUUGCGGUCGAUACGGGCAUGACUGGAGUUCGGCAGGGGAGACUGGAAUUCCUGGUGUAGCGGUGAAAUGCGCAGAUAUCAGGAGGAACACCGGUGGCGAAGGCGGGUCUCUGGGCCGAUACUGACGCUGAGGAGCGAAAGCGUGGGGAGCGAACAGG
rnacentral:rRNA from 1 species